rnacentral:rRNA from 1 species
GAUGGACGCUGGCGGCGUGCCUAAUACAUGCAAGUCGAGCGAACAGACGAGGAGCUUGCUCCUCUGACGUUAGCGGCGGACGGGUGAGUAACACGUGGAUAACCUACCUAUAAGACUGGGAUAACUUCGGGAAACCGGAGCUAAUACCGGAUAAUAUAUUGAACCGCAUGGUUCAAUAGUGAAAGACGGUUUUGCUGGCACUUAUAGAUGGAUCCGCGCCGCAUUAGCUAGUUGGUAAGCUAACGGCUUACCAAGGCAACUAUGCGUAGCCGACCGCAGAGGGUGGUCGCCCACACUGGAACGGAGACACGGUCCAGACUCCUACGGGACGCAGCAGUAGGGAAUCUUCCGCAAUGGGCGAAAGCCUGACGGAGCAACGCCGCGUGAGUGAUGAAGGUCUUCGGAGCGUAAAACUCUGUUACUAGGGAAGAACAAAUGUGUAAGUAACUAUGCACGUCUUGACGGUACCUAAUCAGAAAGCCACGGCUAACUACGUG